rnacentral:rRNA from 1 species
CAGGCGCUUGAGAGAACUCAGGAGAAGGAACUCGGCAAAUUGACACCGUAACUUCGGAAGAAGGUGUGCCCUAGUAGUGUGAAGUGAACAACGGAGCAUGAAUGGGUUGCAAAAAAUCGGUGGCUGCGACUGUUUAUUAAAAACACAGCACUCUGCAAACACGAAAGUGGACGUAUAGGGUGUGACGCCUGCCCGGUGCUGGAAGAUUAAAUGAUGGGGUGCAAGCUCUUGAUUGAAGUCCCAGUAAACGGCGGCCGUAACGAUAACGGUCCUAAGGUAGCGAAAUUCCUUGUCGGGUAAGUUCCGACCUGCACGAAUGGCGUAACGAUGGCCACACUGUCUCCUCCUGAGACUCAGCGAAGUUGAAAUGUUUGUGAUGAUGCAAUCUCCCCGCGGAAAGACGGAAAGACCCCAUGAACCUUUACUGUAGCUUUGUAUUGGACUUUGAACAGAUCUGUGUAGGAUAGGUGGGAGGCUUUGAAGCAGGGUCGCUAGAUCUUGUGGAGCCAACGUUGAAAUACCACCCUGGUGUGUUUGAGGUUCUAACCUAGGUCCAUUAUCUGGAUCGGGGACAGUGCAUGGUAGGCAGUUUGACUGGGGCGGUCUCCUCCCAAAGCGUAACGGAGGAGUUCGAAGGUACGCUAGUUACGGUCGGACAUCGUGACGAUAGUGCAAUGGCAUAAGCGUGCUUAACUGCGAGACUGACAAGUCGAGCAGAUGCGAAAGCAGGACAUAGUGAUCCGGUGGUUCUGUAUGGAAGGGCCAUCGCUCAACGGAUAAAAGGUACUCUGGGGAUAACAGGCUGAUACCGCCCAAGAGUUCAUAUCGACGGCGGUGUUUGGCACCUCGAUGUCGGCUCAUCUCAUCCUGGGGCUGUAGCCGGUCCCAAGGGUAUGGCUGUUCGCCAUUUAAAGAGGUACGUGAGCUGGGUUUAAAACGUCGUGAGACAGUUUGGUCCCUAUCUUCCGUGGGCGCUGCAGAUUUGAGGAAGCCUGCUCCUAGUACGAGAGGACCGGAGUGGACACACCUCUGGUGUAUCGGUUGUCACGCCAGUGGCAUUGCCGAGUAGCUAAGUGUGGAAGAGAUAACCGCUGAAAGCAUCUAAGCGGGAAACUCGUUUCAAGAUGAGAUCUGCCGGGGCCUUGAGCCCCCUGAAGAGUCGUUCAAGACCAGGACGUUGAUAGGUCAGGUGUGGAAGCGCAGUAAUGCGUUAAGCUAACUGAUACUAAUUGCUCGUGCGGCUUGAUCAA